GUACACACACAUAUACUAUGUAAACAAAAACUUUUAUUUUGUAUGCGAUUAAGCGCGAUUAUUCGUUUGACAGAACUACUUUUUUUUAAACAUGA